UAUUGAUCAACACAAUAUUUAUUCAAAAACACAUUCAUUACAUUACUGUACUAAUCAACAAAAUAUUAUUACAGAUGGUAAAUAUAGGAACAUCUAUUUCCCACUAAGGAGUAAAAUAUUUUGCUUACCUUUAAUUAAAAAUACAAAGACUACAAGGAAACAACGAGCUAACACUUCUUCUGUUUUUCCCUGUCUACAGUACGGGUGAAACCAGUGUGUGUGACCUCCUAGGCUGUAAACUCAGAAUGUUUUCCCUGUACUUCCCACGCUGCCCACAUGGGGAAUGUAGAAAACAAGCUGUGCCAUUACCCACCUCUGUACUGGCUUCUCCUGACACUUCUGGGAGCCCAUGUGCCUUGGUGAGGGAAGAGAUGGUCUUAGCCUGGGGGAGCAGUAGAGAUGGCCUGGCAGCCUGUCAAUAUAUGGAGACAAAUGACAACAGAAGAAUAGGUUAAGGUAUGACGCACCUGGGUGAAAGUUGUGUUAAAACCUCUCUGGUACAGAGCAUCCCACCUCGACAAUAGCCAGUGAAAUUGCAGAGUGCCAAAUUCAACAUACAAGUAUUAUACACCGUUUUAAAGAUACACUUCUUGUAAAUCCAACCACAGUGUCCGAUUUCAAAAAGGCUUUACUGCGAAUGCACACCAUGCGAUUAUGUUAGGUCAGCACCUAGUCACAGAAAACCAUACAGCCAUUUUCCAGCCAAAGAGAGGGCUCACAAAAGUCAGAAAUAGCGAUUAAAUUAAUCACUAACCUUUGAUGAUAUUCAUUAGAGGACACUUAUAGGACUUCAUGUUACACAAUACAUGUAUGUUUUGUUCAAUAAAGUUCAUAUUUAUAUCCAAAAAUCUCAGUUUACAUUGGCGCGUUAUGUUCAGAAAUGC
rnacentral:lncRNA from 1 species